rnacentral:rRNA from 1 species
UACGUAGGUGGCAAGCGUUGUCCGGAAUCAUUGGGCGUAAAGCGCGCGUAGGCGGCCCCGUAAGUCCGCUGUGAAAGUCAAAGGCUCAACCUUUGAAAGCCGGUGGAUACUGUGGGGCUAGAGUACGGAAGAGGCGAGUGGAAUUCCUGGUGUAGCGGUGGAAUGCGCAGAUAUCAGGAGGAACACCAAUAGCGAAGGCAGCUCGCUGGGACGUUACUGACGCUGAGGCGCGAAAGCGUGGGGAGCGAACAGG